GGCAGGUAUAGACGAGAGGCGUGAGCAAAUUUAUAAUCUCCUGCUUCGAUUUCCUUGGACCGAAGCAAUUGCAGACGAUAUUAGCUUCAAUAAGAAGCCAACCAGCAGCAGUUAAAGCUGAAUUGUAGAAAUGGAAAAGGGAAGCAAAACAAAUAAGGCCUUGUUCGCUUAUUCCCAAUACACAUGGAUUGAAUGGGUUUGGAAAAAAUUAUGAAGAAGUUUGACUUGCGUGGGAUUCAAACCCAUCCAAUCCCACUCAAUCCACAUGGAUUGAAGGCUAACCGAACAAGCCCUAAGCAGAUCCUCCUGACAACGGAUCUCUACAUAGGUUCAUUUGCCAACAAAAGAAUUCCAGCAAUGUCUGAGGCCUUCUUCAUCAAUGUUUAUUUCUCCUGGAUAUCAUAUCAUAUUGAGGACUGCCAUUCUCCCAACCUAC
rnacentral:lncRNA from 1 species